GCUGGGAGAGAAGCCGCUCCAGCAUUGCGGCGCGGGGCUGUGCCUGGCGCGCGCGACGCACUCGAGCGUCCUGAACUCGGCGGCCACGCGCGCCUUGAGCCCCGCGUGCCGCACGAACCCGUGCAAGCUGUCGCGGUGGCCAAGUGAGUCUUACAGUAUUGACGGCAACGUGCCGGCCUUGGAAGACAGGCGUCGCCAUGGCUCGCCAGCCUUGAUCGGCUCCGGCACCUUCGUUGUACGUCAGCCUCCUUCGCGGCACCACGCCGGCGCCGCCAACGCCCGCCGCCAUCGCUGCAUCUCCGGCGAACCGCGUGUCAGCUAUACAUUGAAGCGACAGAAUGAAACAGAGCUGGCUACGCCUCAAUACCUUUCCUCGCCUUCUUUCCCGGCGGCGUGCCAUUGAUGAUCUCCUUGGCGCGUCGCUGCCUCGUUCUCUGUUUCUCCGGAGUGUUGCCGCCGGUGCUGGCGCUCUCCUGCUUCCUCGUCUCGCUGGCGCUCUUCUUCCUCGGCGUGGCGGCGGACGGCUGCAGCGGCGGAGCAGCUGCGUGGCGCGAAGGGCCCCUGUUGCCCCCUUCUCUUCCCUCCGGCGUGAUCGGCUGCUGCAGCUUGUCCAGGUGCCUCUGGCGCCAUGCCGCGAGCUCCGUCACCGAGUACAUCUGGUUCUUCUUCAGGGACGUGAACACCUGCUUGGCUUGAUCUAGCAGUGACAUCGCCUGCAUAGAUCAGGAAAAGUUUCUCCUGGCUUAAUGCAAUGUGAAGGUAAAUAGUAACCACUGUGGCCAUGCAUGUAGGAGUGUGAUGUGGUACGGAAGCUAGGUGAACGAUGAACCUCUCUGAAAGGCACGGUAUCAUGGCCGUUCAUCGUUAUUGCUCUCUGGAACACCAUGUAAACAUCGUUCUGCGAUCGCGUAGAGAAAUGAAGAUCAUGAAACCAGAGGUAAAUUCAACCC